GAGCGGCGGGUAGAAUCCUUUG
rnacentral:snRNA from 1 species